GGGUGCAGCAGGCGCGAAAACUUUACCAUGCCGGCAACGGCGAUAAGGGAACCUCGAGUGCCAGGUUACAAAUCUGGCUGUCGUGAUGCCUAAAAAGCAUUGCAUAGCAAGGGCCGGGCAAGACCGGUGCCAGCCGCCGCGGUAACACCGGCGGCUCGAGUGGUAACCGUUAUUAUUGGGUCUAAAGGGUCUGUAGCCGGCCGGAUAAGUCUCUUGGGAAAUCUGGCAGCUUAACUGUCAGGCUUUCAGGAGAUACUGUCUGGCUCGAGGCCGGGAGAGGUGAGAGGUACUUCAGGGGUAGGGGUGAAAUCUUGUAAUCCUUGAAGGACCACCAGUGGCGAAGGCGUCUCACCAGAACGGACCUGACGGCAAGGGACGAAAGCUAGGGGCAUGAACCGGAUUAGAUACCCGGGUAGUCCUAGCCGUAAACGAUACUCGCUAGGUGUCGGCCACGGUGCGACCGUGGUCGGUGCCGUAGGGAAGCCGUGAAGCGAGCCACCUGGGAAGUACGGCCGCAAGGCUGAAACUUAAAGGAAUUGGCGGGGGAGCAC
rnacentral:rRNA from 1 species